CCCUUAGAUGUUCUGGGCCGCACGCGCGCUACACUGAUGCAUUCAACAAGCCUAGCCUUGACCGAGAGGUCCGGGUAAUCUUUGAAACUGCAUCGUGAUGGGGCUAGAUUAUUGCAAUUAUUAAUCUUCAACGAGGAAUGCCUAGUAAGCGUGAUUCAUCAAAUCGCGUUGAUCACGUCCCUGCCCUUUGUACACACCGCCCGUCGCUCCUACCGAUUGAAUGUGUUGGUGAGGAGCUCGGAUUGGCAGCAGUUGGUGGUUCGCCACCGGCUAUUGCUGAGAAGUCCUCCAAACCGCCCCAUUUAGAGGAAGGAGAAGUCGUAACA
rnacentral:rRNA from 1 species